UACAGAGGGGGCAAGCGUUGUUCGGAAUUACUGGGCGUAAAGAGCUUGUAGGCGGUUUGUCGCGUCUGCUGUGAAAAUCCGGGGCUCAACCCCGGACUUGCAGUGGGUACGGGCAGACUAGAGUGUGGUAGGGGAGACUGGAAUUCCUGGUGUAGCGGUGGAAUGCGCAGAUAUCAGGAGGAACACCGAUGGCGAAGGCAGGUCUCUGGGCCACUACUGACGCUGAGAAGCGAAAGCAUGGGGAGCGAACAGG
rnacentral:rRNA from 1 species